UUGUGAGUAGAAUUUAUUAAUGGGAUCACAUUUAUAUUAUGUGCAGUAAUGUAAUAGCAACACAUGCAAAGUAAUUACUUAUGCAUUAUAAAUAUUAAGAAAAAAGCAUCAGACCUGGGUUUAAAUACUAUUUGUGGUAUUUAAUUUACUUUCAAAGGCAUUUGGAAGUAAAUAUUUCAAUAUUUUUUAUUUGAAAAGACAAGUAACUGAAAAUUGGAAUGUAUUUGAAAAUACUCAAAUACACACCCAUGUAUUUAACCCAGGCAUAUGAAAAUAUUAUUUGAAAAAACUUAAUAGGUUAUUAAUAGAAAAAAAAAAAUACUUCUAAUAGAAAUAGUUGAUUCGGGCCACAUUAUUUGAAAAUACUCCAUUACACAGAAAAUAAGUAUUUAAAUAACACAAUCACAUACACAGAACCCAGGUCUGAAAAGCAUACGGUAUCAUAACAUUACAAUUAUUCACAGAAUUUUACCUGGCACAGUCAACAUGACAUUCUUUUAAUAUUGUUGUGAUAUUAUUACAUGCUGUGGAUAUUUAUCACCCAGACACACAGCAGGAGCCUUGGAGGAUCCCAUUCCAAUUACCCAAGCAUAGCAAAUCCACGGUAAUCAGGAGGUGGGCGUAAUAUCACAUUGCAUUGGUGGCAGUGAGGUAGGUCCAUUAUAUGAUGAAAAAUUUCAAACACAAAUGUGUUUUACAUUGUACAUACCAUGUUUCAAGUCAUCGCAAAAUACGAAAGAAGAGAGAACUCUGGUAGAGUAACACAUCAAUUUCCAUGAUGGUGGAAAAUGGACAGACCAUACAAAAUAGUUGAAGAUUCAGCCAUUGAGUUUGCUAAGUGGUUACAGACACCAAUCCCUUUUCCAGUGAGGCACCUGUUGACUAACCACUUGAGAUCAGUGUAUUAGGACAUAUCACUAAUAAACAGACAGAUUGAUUUGACCAUUUUCCUACAGAAAUUAUGUAAAUUAUAACUGCUUUCCUGAUUGGGAGGAUUAAGAGGAAGAGAUAGGAUUGGAUUGGUUAAUGUGAGUGGGUUUAAUCCAAUAAUCAUGAUCUCCUGAUAACUGUAAUUGAAAGACUUUGAUUAAUCAUGUUCAGAAAGCACACUUUCUUAGAACUUAUUCAUGUACAUGUUCAAUGAAGCUAUGCUGUGCAUGGAAUUAUCAAAGUUUGCAAAAGAAACCACACGAUAUAUACAGUGCCUUCGAAAGUAUUCAGACCCCUUGACUUUUCCACAUGUUGUUACGUUACAGCCUAAUUCUAAAAUGUAUUAAAUCGUUUUCUCCCCUCAUCAAUCUACACACAAUACCCCAAAACAGGUUUUUAGAAAUUGUUGAUAUAUAUAUAUAUAUCAUAUAUAUUAUUUUACGGAAAUAUCACAUUUACAUAACUAUUCAGACCGUUUACACCUGUAUUUGGGGAGUUUCUCCCAUUAUUCACUGCAGAUCCUCUCAAGCUCUGUCAGGUUGGAUGGGGAGCGUUACUGCACGGCUAUUUUCAGGUCUCUCCAGAGAUGUUUGAUUGGGUUCAAGUCCGGGCUCUGGCUGGGCCACUCAAGGACAUUCAGAGACUUGUCCCGGAACCACUCCAGCGUUGUCUUGGCUGUGUGCUUAGGGUCGUUGUCCUGUUGGAAGGUGAAUGUUUUCAUCAAGGAUCUCUCUGUACUUUGCUCUGUUGAUCUUUGCCUCGAUCCUGACUUUUCUCCCAGUCUCUGCUGCUGGAAAAACAUCCCCACAGAAUGAUGCUGCCACCACCAUGCUUCACUUUAGGGAUGGUGCCAGGUUUCCUCCAGACGUGACACUUGGCAUUCAGGCCAAAGAGUUCAAUCUUGGUUUCAUCAGACCAGAGAAUCUUGUUACUCAUGGUCUGAGAGUCUUUAGGUGCCUUUGGCAAACUCCAAGCGGGCUGUCAUGUGCCUUUAACUGAGGAGUGGCUUCCGUUUGGCCACUCUACCAUAAAGGCCUGAUUGGUGGAGUGCUGCGGAGAUGGUUGUCUUUCUGGAAGGUUCUCCCAUCUCUACAGAGGAGCUCUGUCAGAGUGACCAUCGGGUUCUUGGUCACCUCCCUGACCAAAGCACUCCCCCGAUUGCUCAGUUUGGCUGUACCGCCAGCUCUAUGAAAAAUCUUGGUGAUCUGUGUUGUGACACAAUUCUGUCUUGGAGCUCUACGGACAAUUCCUUCGACCUCAUGGCUUGGUUUUUGCUCUGACAUGCAUUGUCAACUGUGGGACCUAAUAAAUACAGGUGUGUACCUUUCCAAAUCAUGUCCAACCAAUUGAAUUUACGACAGGUGGACUCCAAUCAAGUUGUCGAAACAUGUCAAGGAUGGUCAAUGGAAACAGGAUGCACCUGAGCAAACUUUCAAGUCUUAUAGCAAAGGGUCUGAAUACUUAUGUAAACAAGGUAUUUCAGUUAUAUAUAUAUAUAUAUAUAUAUAUAUAUAUAUUUGCAAACAUUUCUAAAAAACAAUUUUCCCUUUGUUAUUAUGUGUUAUUGUAUGUUGAUUGCUAAGGAUUUUUAUUUAUUUAAUCCAUUUUAGAAUACAGAUGUAAUGUAACAAAAUGUGGAAAAAGUCAAGGGGUCUGAAUACUUUCCAAAAGCACUAAUAUAUAUAUAUAUAUAAAUCUUGGUGAUCUGUGUUGUGACACAAUUCUUGGAACACAGAUCAGCAAGAUAAAUAUAUAUUUAUAUAUAUAUAUAUAUAUAUAUAUAUAU
ensembl:lncRNA